ACGGGAGGCAGCAGUGGGGAAUAUUGCACAAUGGGGGAAACCCUGAUGCAGCGACGCCGCGUGAGCGAUGAAGUAUUUCGGUAUGUAAAGCUCUAUCAGCAGGGGAGAUAAUGACGGUACCUGACCAAGAAGCUCCGGCUAAAUACGUGCCAGCAGCCGCGGUAAUACGUAUGGAGCAAGCGUUAUCCGGAUUUACUGGGUGUAAAGGGAGCGUAGGCGGAAGGCUAAGUCUGAUGUGAAAACCCAGGGCUCAACCUUGGGACUGCAUUGGAAACUGGUUUUCUAGAGUGUCGGAGGGGUAAGUGGAAUUCCUAGUGUAGCGGUGAAAUGCGUAGAUAUUAGGAGGAACACCAGUGGCGAAGGCGGCUUACUGGACGACAACUGACGCUGAGGCUCGAAAGCGUGGGGAGCAAACAGGAUUAGAUACCCUGGUA
rnacentral:rRNA from 1 species